AAGAGUUGCUUUGCUGCGAGUGCACAUUUGUGGCUGCUGGUGCCGAGAUGAUGGAAGCAUUGAUCCAGCCUGCUGCGUGACCCCGUUCAGCACGGCGGUGUGCUGUGUUGGCAGCAUUAAGUUUGUCUCUAGAGCUACUCUAAGCCAGGAUCACAGGACAGAUUGAAUCGGAGGAAAACCUUGUAGCUUCUUCCAGGGCUCCUGCGCUCCAGGGGGGAUUCCCAGAGCAGACAGGGCCUUGUUAGUGACAGGGGAUCUUGAGUAGAGCAAGCCUUGCUGGGAGAUUUUAUCUGUUUUUAUAGCUAGUGCAGGUGGAUUUUUAUGUGAUAAAAGCUGUAAACAGUGAAGUAGCUGGACUGUCCCUCCCUGGCUUGUAAUAAUCAGCUUUUAGCUCUGAGUCACCCCAAACUAAUAGGACUUGCUGUGCAACUAUGGUAGAGGUCAAGCUGUGUUUGGAGGAGAUAAGAGUCAAUCCUUGAUCCAGGCUUUCAAAGGUGAGGAGAGGGAGCUGGGCAAAGAGGAGGUGUGGUGCUGGUGCUCCCCUCGGGGGGAAAUUCAGAGCGACCCAGGCCCUUAGUACACAUCAGAGAAUCUACCCCAUGCCAUUCCCUCAUUUACUGGACUCUGUUCUUGCUCCUGCAAAGAAGGUGGGCACUGCUUUGGGGUAUCAGCCACUGCCAGCUGCUGUUUUACCUGGCCAUAGCAUCGUCUUUUUUGCCCUCUCUCCUAUAAACUGGUUUUGAGCAGGAAAAUGGUUCCUUUUCCAAAAAAAGUUCUGGCCAAAUUGAUGACAACCACAGUACUUUGGUUUAGUGAGUCGACCUUGUAACAAACAGACCCAGUUUGAAUCCUGUACCAACUAUAAACCUCAAUUUGGGAAAUUGAUUUCAAGUUGAAAUCUCUUUAAAAAGCAAAUCAAUUUCCUUGAGAGAGGGGGGGAAGGAAGAGUGUCUCCCUCUGUCGUGCUCCAGCAGGCAACAGAGAGGGAGGAGGAGGACAUUUUUGGCUGCGUCUCUGCAGGGUGCCCUGUUGGCAACCUGGAUAAUAUAAUACGGUUUUGGCCUUGAUGCUGUUCUGUGGUCCUUUUGGACUAUGAAAUCUCCUCCAGGAGCAAAACCGGCAACUGGGGGUUCAGACCUGGAGGAGAAGGUCUCUUUUAGUGGUAAGCUUGUAACUUUUUGCCUUUCUGUUGGCUCAGAGGAGAGCCGGGGAGCAACGUUCUCAGCUCCUUGCUCGCCCUCAAACUGCAAAGACGCGUCUUACCAGCCGCAUAAAGUGAAUUUAUUUAGUUAAGGGAGGUGUUAAUUAAGAGAUCUCAUUUAUUGUGUCUCUGCAGACAGCUCUCGAGGGCCUUUUGAGUUGUCAGCUCUGGUGACAGCAAAAGCUAAUGGUGUCACACGUUAAUGGUGGUAUGAUUCAUGUCGAGGAAAGACGCGGCAGCCGGUGGAAGAGGUGGAGAGGGAAGGAAGGAGACGUGGUGGAGCUUGCCGUGGGGGCUCAGGCUGCCUUGUCCUGCCUCAGAACCGCUGCUGUAUGAACCCGCUUGCACAGGAGAAGCAGCUUGAAGGAGUGAGACCACAGGGAGAAAAAGGGGGCAGGAAGGCCUUGGAUAACCCGGGCCUGUGCUCAAACCACUUCAGAGAGCUCUCAGGGCUCCUUGUAGAUGCGACGAGUUCCUGCAGCUUCAGCUCCUGCACUGCCCACGUCCAAAUCUGGGCCUUUGAAAGGACAGCAUAGCUUCGUGCCAGAGACCUAGGGGACAGAGUUGCUGCCUCCUGGUGAAGGAGAAGAGCUAGGAGACCUACUGGAGCAGUAGACCACCGUAGAGAUCAGUGAACAACGUGAGAGGCCUUGGGCUCAGUGUAUGUGCUCCGCAGAGCUCAGCUGCACCUUGAGAAGAUUGUCCCAGGGAUGAUAUUCUGGUUUUACGCUGCCAUUGCUCUCCUGUUCAGUCCAGUGUGAGGUGGCCGCCAGGCUCCCUCAGG